AGAACAACCGAGGGGUGCCAAGUUGUUAAUCAAUUUGGCUGAGAUCAUACCCUUAAGAGCGGAUCAUGGUAAUGCAUGCGUCGCAAUGUGUUUUCUUUUUUCG
rnacentral:ncRNA from 2 species